AUUUGUAUCUUUAUUGUUAACUCAGCAGAUUCUUUUUAGCCUUUCAGCAAUGAAGAUAAACGUUGAGUUGCCUCAUCAUUGAAAGUAGAUGAGUUGCAUGAGUACAAGGCUACAUCUAAAAUUUACUGCUAAAGUUUGUGUGAGCAAGGUUACUAUCAGGUGCAAACUGAAUCGAUGAUUCCGGAAACAGAUAACAGUCUUAUGUUCUGGAUAAGAGUCCCUUGAGCCAGCCAUAGUUCUCAACACCUCACCCUGCCAUUGGUGAUAGUAUCACGCAGAGGAAAAAUAUUGGUAAAAGUCUUUAACCUGAAGAUCCAGUAUAGUAGCUACGUAACAAGUACUCAGAACAUGAGAUUCCCAAACUUGGAAACCAAUAAGAGGUAUUCCUUUCUCAUUUUAGAAAAAAUGGUAUUCAUAUAAGAUUUUGGAAGGACAUGGUUAAGAGGAACAUCACUAAGAAAAGAAUUCUCAAGUUUGCAUCUUAUAGCAUCACAUCCAGACUCAAACAUUGCACAAAAAUAGAUUAGGCAACACAUAGGACGUGAGUUUCAGGAGAAACAUGCAAGAGGGAUUGUCAUGGUUCAGGUAUGUUAAGUCUAAGCCCUUCCUUCAUUUUGGCAUGAUCCAAGUAAUGAUACAUAAACAUAAUGCUAUUUUAUAAGUGUUUCUAUUCUUAGCAGUUAAGGAUGUCUACGUUAUUUAUUCCUGUAAAAUGAUAUUACUCGAAGGUAUAAUGGUCUUAUGACGCUCCGAGAAGUUUUAUUAACGUACUUCUCAUGCAUUGCAUUUAUUUAUACAUGUAUAUUAACCUAUGAACAAAUGGCGUUAUAUACGCGUAUAUAUGUAUAUCUAUAUGUAUAUGGGAUACGGGAAAAAGUUAUUGUGUUAUAUACGCACCAUCACCUGAUCAGCUCGUAUACGUUGAUGAUUUGUCCAUAGUGGCCGAGAUGAUAUGAUGGGAUGCCCUCAGAGGCGUGAUAAUGUUAUGGUGCUAUAUACGCGUAUAUAUAUGUAUAUGGGAUAUGGGAAAAAGGUAAUGGCAUUAUAUACGCACCAACACCUGAUCAGCUGAUAUACGUUGUUGAUUUGCCCACAGUGACAGAAAUGAUAUGAUGGGAUGCCCUCAGAGGCUUGAUGAUGUUAUGAGCACUUGUACCCAUGCACGACAUGACAUUCAUAUGCAUAUGUAUGAUACUAUAAGUAUUUCAUAAUUUACAGAGUUAUCCAGACUUACAGGUUGAUUCUUAUAUGUCAUUAAAUAAAUAUUAACUUAUUGUUAUGUUUCAGUUCUACCUUACAUACUCAGUACAUUAUUCGUACUAACGUC
rnacentral:lncRNA from 1 species